GUCUAGCCCCGAUGGAAGUGGUAUCCUUUUAUGGCGGGGUUCGCCAUAAAAGAUAUAGCGGACAGCGGGACGGGUG
rnacentral:sRNA from 1 species